GACUGGUUCUAGCCACUGCGCCUCUCAGGCCGAGUUUCCUCCCUGCACCCAGCCCGAGGGAUAUUUGAGGGUUUGUUUUGGUUUUUUUUUUUUUUUUUUUUUGAGACGGAGUUUCGCUUUUGUCGCCCAGGCUGGAGUGCAGUGGCGCGAUCUCAGCUCACUGCAAUCUCUGCCUCCCGGGUUCAAGCGAUUCUCGUGCCUCAGCCUCCCGAGUAGCUGAAUUACAGGCACCCGCCACCACGCCUGGCUAAUUUUUGUAUUUUUCGUAGAGACGGGGUUUCGCCAUGUUACCGAGGCUGGUCUCUAACUCCUGACCUCAAGUGAUACGCCCACCUCAGCCUCCCAAAGUGCUGGGAUUACAGGCGUGAGCCACCACGCGUGGCCUUGUUUUGGUUUCCUUCCUUCCUUCCUUCCUUCCUUCCUUCCUUCCUUCCUUCCUUCCAUCCUCCCUCCCUCCCUCCUUUCUUUUUUUUCUUUCAGGGUCUUGCUCUGUCACCCAGGCUGGACUGCAGUGGCAUGAUCUCGGCUCACUCCAGCCCCAAUCUCCCGGGCUCAAACGAUCCUCCUGCCUCAGCCUCCCUAGUAGCUGGGACCAAAGUCACGCCCCACCACACUCUGCUAAUUUUAUUUUGUUGUUGGUGCUGUGUGUGUGACGGGGGUGGGGUGGGUUAGAUGGGGUCUCACUAUGUUGACCAGGCUGGUCGUGAAUUCCUGGGCUCAAGUGAUCCUCCUGCCUAGGCCUCCCCAGGUGCUGGGAUUACAAAUGUGAGCCACCGUGCCCGGCCAAUAUUUGCAUUUAAUGCAGAGCUUGCUUCUAGCUUGCCAGAGUAGGCACUGUCUUCUUCUGGCACUCCAUGAGCUCUUCCUUCUAAUUCCUUCCGGACACAAGGUCACCAGUAUGUGCAGGGAACUCCACACUCACUGUGACAUGGAGCAAUCGCCUUGCCUCAGAACGGGAGGGAGCCCAGGCUAGGCCAGGGAGGACAGGAAGAGGAGGAAGGGCCUGAUGUUCCGGGAAACGGGCAUUUGGGAUGAGGCGUGCCAAGGCUUCCUCCCAUACCCUCCGGUCCCUGAAAAAACAUCUAUACGUGGAAAAAAAAGUAGAAAUAACUGAGGUGAGAGGAAGGAUGCUCUCUGAUGAAGUGAUGUGGGAUGAGACCCAAAGUAAUGUAUUAGUAUUAAAAGGCAGGUUGGGCUGGGUGCGAUGGAGCACGCCUGUAAUCUAGCACUUUGGGAGGCCGAGGCAGGCGGAUCACCUGAGGUCGGGAGUUCGGAACAUGGAGAAACCCCAUCUCUACUAAAAAUACAAAAUUAGGCCAGGCGCCGUGGC
rnacentral:lncRNA from 1 species